rnacentral:rRNA from 1 species
ACUCAAAUGAAUUGACGGGGACUCGCACAAGCGGUGGAUUAUGUGGCUUAAUUCGUAGACAAACGAAGAACCUUACCAAGGUUAGAAAUCCAACUGCAUCCCUGGUGAAAGCCGGGGAGCCUUCGAGGGUGUUGGACAGGUGAUGCAUGGUCGUCGUCAGUUCGUGGUUUGAACUGUUCCCUUCAGUGGGGUAACGAACGCAACCCCCGUUGCCUGUUGCCUAUAUGGUCAGGCGAGACUGCUCCCUCACGGGAGAGGAAGGUGGGGAUGACGCCAGAUCAGCAUGUCCCUCUGAUACCUUGGGCCGCACACAUAAUACAAUGGCGCGUACAACGGGAAGCAAUGCCGCAAGGUGGAGCAAAUCCCUCAAAACGCGCCCCAGUACGGAUUGAGGUCUGCAAUCGACCUCAUGAAGCCGGAAUCGCUAGUAAUCUCGGGUCAGCCAAACCGAGGUGAAUACGUUCUCGAGUCUUGUACACACCGCCCGU